rnacentral:rRNA from 1 species
GACGAACGCUGGCGGCGUGCUUAACACAUGCAAGUCGAACGGUAAGGCCCUUCGGGGUACACGAGUGGCGAACGGGUGAGUAACACGUGGGUGAUCUGCCCUGCACUUCGGGAUAAGCCUGGGAAACUGGGUCUAAUACCGGAUAGGACCACUGCCUGCAUGGGUGGUGGUGGAAAGCUUUUGCGGGGUGGGAUGGGCCCGCGGCCUAUCAGCUUGUUGGUGGGGUGAUGGCCUACCAAGGCGAAGACGGGUAGCCGGCCUGAGAGGGUGACCGGCCACACUGGGACUGAGAUACGGCCCAGACUCCUACGGGAGGCAGCAGUGGGGAAUAUUGCACAAUGGGCGCAAGCCUGAUGCAGCGACGCCGCGUGAGGGAUGACGGCCUUCGGGUUGUAAACCUCUUUCAGCACCGACGAAGCGCAAGUGACGGUAGGUGCAGAAGAAGGACCGGCCAACUACGUGCCAGCCGCCGCAGUAA